GGAACAUGGACACCGGAGAAUGAGUAAGGCAGAGUAGAAUUUUAUUCAUCAGCGAGAGGGGACCUGAAAGCAGGUCGCCAUCUGUGAGGCAUUGGUUACAUGAAAACCGUGUGACAACCUUGGAAGUCUGAAAGAGCAGGAGAGAGGCUAAGCACACACAUAUUGUGAUUUUAAGAGUCUCAAGGUGAGAAGAAACAUCAGAAGCAGUUGAGAGACCAGGACGUGGGUCCUCAAAGGAUGAACAGAAGUUCUUUUGGAUAACAUUUUAAAAUGUUUCCUCCAGAGUUAUCUGCCUCAUUAACAAUGGUUUGAGUCUCAAGAGUCUCUCUUCGAUUUUACAAACAUGAUUUGUUGCUCUGCUAUAAAUGCAUGCUGCUCUAGUCCUUCAAUAAACCCACAACAUGUUUUCACCAUU
rnacentral:lncRNA from 10 species